rnacentral:rRNA from 1 species
AGAUUGAACGCUAGCGGGAUGCUUUACACAUGCAAGUCGAACGGCAGCGCGGACUUCGGUCUGGCGGCGAGUGGCGAACGGGUGAGUAAUAUAUCGGAACGUGCCCAGUAGCGGGGGAUAACUACGCGAAAGCGUGGCUAAUACCGCAUACGCCCGUACGGGGGAAAGGGGGGAUCGCAAGACCUCUCACUAUUGGAGCGGCCGAUAUCAGAUUAGCUUAGUUGGUGAGGUAAAGGCUCACCAAGGCGACGAUCUGUAG